rnacentral:rRNA from 1 species
CAAGAGCGUAUGUAAAAGUUGUUGCAGUUAAAAAGCUCGUAGUUGAACCUUGGGUUUGGUUGGCCGGUCCGCUUUUUUGCGAGUACUGGCUUCAACCGAGCCUUUCCUUCUGGCUAACCAGUCGUUUCGGCGGCUGGCGAACCAGGAUUUUUACUUUGAGAAAAUUAGAGUGUUCAAAGCAGGCAUUAGCUUGAAUAUAUUAGCAUGGAAUAAUAGAAUAGGACGUUAUGGUUCUAUUUUGUUGGUUUCUAGGACCAUCGUAAUGAUUAAUAGGGACGGUCGGGGGCAUCAGUAUUCAGUUGUCAGAGGUGAAAUUCUUGGAUUUACUGAAGACUAACUACUGCGAAAGCAUUUGCCAAGGACGUUUUCAUUAA